UACGGAGGGGGGCAAGCGUUGUUCGGAAUUACUGGGCGUAAAGGGCGCGCAGGCGGCUGCUCAAGUCAGGCGUGAAAGGCCUGGGCUCAACCCGGGAAUUGCGCUUGAGACUGGGCUGGCUUGAGUGCGGGAGAGGAUGGUGGAAUUCCCAGUGUAGAGGUGAAAUUCGUAGAUAUUGGGAAGAACACCGGUGGCGAAGGCGGCCAUCUGGACCGCAACUGACGCUGAGGCGCGAAAGCGUGGGGAGCGAACAGG
rnacentral:rRNA from 1 species